rnacentral:SRP_RNA from 2 species
GCCAGGCGUGGUGGCACACUCCUGUAAUCCCAGCUACUUGGGAGGCUGAGGCAGGAGAAUUGCUUGAACCCGGGAGGUGGAGGUUGCAGUGAGCUGAGAUCGUGCCACUGCACUUCAGCCUGGGUGACAAAGCAAGACUCUGUCUCAA